CUUCAUCCCUGGAUAUCCAUUCUUCCGGGGCGACCCAUCAUUUUAAAAAAUUAAACUGCUUGCGUGAUCUUCUAUCUUGGAGCAACUGGUGGGUAUUUCCAUGAUUGCAUCUUGCCGUGCACACCUGUUUCGUUUGUCUCCUAGUAGUAUUGUAGCAGGACCGUUGAUAUCUUUUUUGUUCUCUCAUCUGUUAGUGGAUGGCUGAUUCAAAUCGGAAGCGUGUGCCGCUUGGACCUGUUUCGCCAUCUUCAUCUCAGAAAGAUCCUAAACAUUGAGUUUCCAAAUUCCUACGUUGGAAACACUGAGACGCGGUCUCCUUCUCUCAGACUCGCAUCACAUAUUCACAUGCAGCGGAACAUCCCUUAGAAACAGAGUUCCGGAUCAUCCACUCUUUAAAAUUAAGGAAUAUCGCCAGGCCAGGCCUUCCAUGAAGAAGAACAUGAAUUUAACUUCAGGAAGAUUCAUUUAUGCAUCAGGAGAUCAUCACAAUAAAGCUACAAGGAACAAUGCAAUGGACAGGAACUGAUGGCCGCAUCAGAAACUGAUGAAACCUCAUCAGUAUGCUGAUACUUGAUCAGUAUUCAGUAUAAUCUAUCUGGAGAUUGAGUUUGAUAAGAAAAGAAAGAAGAUUGAUACGGAACAACUUAUUUAUAGAGAUAUACUUCUGAUUGAAUAUAUCUUAUGUAGUAAUGGUGGUAGCUGUGUACUAUAUAAACACAGAUUAUUAGGUCUUACAAUAGAUGCGUAAGGAACAAAACACGAGUAUAACUGUGUAACCUAGAAGCUCUUGAGAACGACUGUGUUUCUUGAGAGAGUUUUGUAACAGUUCUUAAAGUUAUCAAUAAGAGCUGAG